UACGGGGGGGGCAAGCGUUGUUCGGAAUUACUGGGCGUAAAGGGCUCGUAGGCGGCCAACUAAGUCGGAUGUGAAAUCCCCAGGCUUAACCUGGGAACUGCAUCCGAUACUGGAUGGCUUGAAUCCGGGAGAGGGAUGCAGAAUUCCAGGUGUAGCGGUGAAAUGCGUAGAUAUCUGGAGGAAUACCGGUGGCGAAGGCGGCAUACUGGACCGGCAUUGACGCUGAGGAGCGAAAGCUAGGGGAGCAAACGGG
rnacentral:rRNA from 1 species